AGAGAAGUGACCAUUGCCCUGAGAAGGCAGACGCUGGAGUGGGACAGGAAGAGCGCCUGCGAGCCUUGACCAGGAAGCAUCAGUGAGAACACCUGCUCUGCAAGCUUCCCUCCCCUCAAACUGGCCCCAGAUACAGCUGCCAACUUUGGAGGGGUGGGGGUGGGGUAGUGUAGAGUUUGCAGGAGCUGGAGAGGAUGUCAUGGAAUCUGGAGAGCCACGGAUCCAGGUCUGCUGUUGAGAGCCUGGGUGCCCCUGGCUCUGUAAAGAAGGAAGAAAGAAGAGGGGAGAAAAGUGAGACCGAGGAGAGGUCCAUUCCAAGAGAAACUAAAAGGAACAAAAAGAGGUAGAGGCAAAGGAACAGGAGGGAAUCGGAUUGAGAGAAAGUCCCCUGAGUGCUCCCCCCACCCACCCCGCCUUUUGGAUGAAGCUGCAGCAGCGGUAGCAGAUGGUUCCAGAAAAGAAAGCAGAGGAGUAGGUCCGUGAGUCCCGCCCCGUGGGUCCACACAGCGCUGUGCUCGUUGCAGUUUGGAGCCAGAGAUCCCCAAGGCGGGUCUUUCCGUGGUACCCCAGGCGUGCUCACCGUGGGAGCCACCCCCAAGGACUGAGCAGCAGGGCCCCCAGACUGGCUGAACCUUUUCUGGAGUUGAAUCUUCUGGGAUCGAGGCAAAAAGGGGCACUUGGCCACUAUCACAAUCUACAAUCUUACACGGGGAGAAACACCACCAAAGGUUCCCCCACCCCUGUAGGCCUUGCUCACUCUUAGAGCUCCAGGGCCCACCAGUGGCAGCUAUAGAAGGCAGUGAGUAAACAAACAUUUGUGGUUGGGGGUAGAAAUAGUCUUUAGAGUCAAGUUUAAGCCACAGUUUUGCCAUCCCUGAGGGCUCCUGGACUGGAAUCCUCUUGGAGGUUAAGAGGACGGCUGCAGUUCAAACUCCAAGAGAUGCAGGCUGAUCUCCUGUAAGAACCUUAGACUGAGUGAUUGACCUCCCUAGACUGCUGACAGCACACUCUGACUUGCACAAAUGUUUCCUUUUAACAGGCCCCAGUUUCCCUUGUGUGUAGUUCAACCUCUGUGAGCCUAACACUUUUCUACUCCUUAUGAAACUCUACUUUGACAAUUAUCUGUGAUGUAGUCAGGACAAGAGGAAUCCAUCUCAGAGAUGAAGAAUAUAUUGUUAGCAAAGCCAGACUGUAUUCCAUCCACUUUAUAUAUAUGUAUAUAAAAUAA